rnacentral:rRNA from 1 species
GAUGAACGCUGGCGGCGUGCCUAAUACAUGCAAGUCGAGCGAACAGAUGAGGAGCUUGCUCCUCUGACGUUAGCGGCGGACGGGUGAGUAACACGUGGAUAACCUACCUAUAAGACUGGGAUAACUACGGGAAACCGGAGCUAAUACCGGAUAAUAUAUUGAACCGCAUGGUUCAAUAGUGAAAGACGGUUUUGCUGUCACUUAUAGAUGGAUCCGCGCCGCAUUAGCUAGUUGGUAAGGUAACGGCUUACCAAGGCAACGAUGCGUAGCCGACCUGAGAGGGUGAUCGGCCACACUGGAACUGAGACACGGUCCAGACUCCUACGGGAGGCAGCAGUAGGGAAUCUUCCGCAAUGGGCGAAAGCUUGACGGAGCAACGCCGCGUGAGUGAUGAAGGUCUUCGGAUCGUAAAACUCUGUUAUGAGGGAAGAACAAAUGUGUAAGUAACUAUGCACGUCUUGACGGUACCUAAUCAGAAAGCCACGGCUAACUACGUG